CUCUCCUUACCUGCGUCCUCGGGGGCGUGCGCACCACCCCCCCUCCCGCCUAGGAGGGGGGAGGGCCCCCUCUUGGCCACCGCCUUCGCGGCCUUUAAACUCCCCUGGAGACUGCGGCUACUGCCACCGCCUUGCCUCCACUGCCUCUUCGCGCAGCACACAGAUGCGGACGGUGGGUGGGAAAAAGGGCAGACGCUACUCCCAGCGAACCGCCGCUGCCGCUCCCGAGGCCUCACCAAAAUGGCCGCCGCCGUCUCGGCCGCCACCACCACCACUACCACCACCACUCGCUCGGAAUCGCUAUCGCCGGCGCGGCCCGUCUUCUCGCGAGAGACAGUAACUGGAGGGUGGGGGAACGGGGAGGCUCGCGUGCUAGCGUAGGGUGCAGCACGGUGCGCAAGGCAGCCUGGGAGGUGUAGUCUCCCAGAGGCUGCGCGCUCGCCCUUCCUCGGAGCGCCUUUACCGUUUGCCCCUAGAUCUACCUGGGGCUGCAUUGCGGCUGCCAGCUCGGACCACCGCCACCUCCCUUUUUAUUUACAGAUCACCCAGUAAGCUGCAGCAAGUUAGCAGUGGAACCUGGGCCUCCCGAUUCCCAUGGCAGCCCACUUCUGUAGCGCUGCUUCGUUUUACGCGAGGAUGGUUUCCUGAUAGCUUUCAAACACCUUUGCCAUCUCUUCGCAAACUUUCUAGAUUAAGAAUCCCUUUGAGAAUCUGAUACCUUUACCCCAGAAUAGAACAAUAAAUAACAGCUACCUUCUACUGACACUACUUGGUGCCUUGAUUAUUUCUUUUAAUCCUAACUGCUCCAUUUUACAAACGAAUUGAGGCUCAGGCGUUAAAACACAGUGACAGAUC
rnacentral:lncRNA from 1 species